rnacentral:rRNA from 1 species
UACGGAGGGGACUAGCGUUGUUCGGAUUUACUGGGCGUAAAGGGCGCGUAGGCGGAUCUGCAAGUCAGAGGUGAAAGCCCUGGGCUCAACCCGGGAAUGGCCUUUGAGACUGCAAGUCUUGAGCGCGAGAGAGGGUGGCGGAAUACCCAGUGUAGAGGUGAAAUUCGUAGAUAUUGGGUAGAACACCGGUGGCGAAGGCGGCCACCUGGCUCGCAACUGACGCUGAGGCGCGAAAGCGUGGGGAGCAAACAGG